CACCCACCUGUAGCUCAUCAGCAAGUUUGGGCUGGUAUAAAUUGGCUCCCAAACCAGUACUCAGUGCAAGUUUGUGUAAUAACCACCUGCAGCAAGCACGUGUAGACACCAAGUGAAGUUUUCGCUUCCUCUGUGGACAUUUCCCCCUCUCCGAGGAUUCUUUGUGCUCCCCCUUGAAUGUUAAGUGACACGACAUCAGUCGACAAGGCUGAGUGGCCACCUGGAGGCUGUCCUCCUCUGAGAAACAAAGGAACAACUGCUCCCAUAUUAGUGCUUUGCCAGGAGGAGGCCAUUGUGCUGAAUAAUGCAUGGGCCUUCGCACAGCUUUGCCGUAUGAAUUAUGGACACAUCCAGCUGAGACACGAACUUGCUCUGACUAGCUGCAGAUGAGAAUAGCGAAUGAGGCGGGGGUGGGGGGGGAGUAAUUCCCAGCUGACUGCCUCACCUUUAUUGGAUUUGAUGCACGACAGGAGGCUGAGAUGUCUUGGCCACUUCCGUGUGAUGCGUUAAAUGUCUAUGAAACCUAAAGGGAGGCAAGUCUCCCUGAGGAAAGGGACUUUUUCUCUUAUGACGCAACAGUGAGUGGAUGUGUGAGUGUUUGUUCUCUCAAAUGGACAUAAUUGUCUUUUUUUUUUUUUUUGCAUUGCAUUCUGUAGCCUUAAGUGUCUUCAGUGAUGAUGACCUCGCUGAUUCAAGGAUAUUUGCUGCUGACUGCUGUUGGAUAUCAUUUUUGUAAUGUGCAUUGCUGCCAUCUACAGAGCAGUGGAGUUGAAGAUUAACGCCGACCAACAUAAUUUUUUUUUCAGUCAAACAAGUCAUACAAACACAGCUCAGUGGAAUGGUGGUUAGCACAUCUGGCUCGCGGUUUUAAGAUUGUUGUCUCAAAAUUUGACUCUAAAUUGUUGAUCGGCGUGAAUACUUGUUUUGUCUGUGCCUUGGCUUGCGAUGAGUCACUCAACUGUACCUCGCCUCUCGCCCAUUGUCAGCUGCAAUCGGCACCAGCUCACCGGAGGCCCAAACGAGGAAAAGUAGUUUCCAAAAUGGAUGGAUAGACUCAGACAUCAAACUUUAAAACAAACCUCAUGUCUUAUUGUUUUCUUUUAAGCCAAACACAUUGCUCUUGAAAUUACAACUUGUUGUGCUCAACAUCUGCCCACCCUGACAAAGACAACUCCAAUUCAUGAAUUGCACAUGCGUACUUGCACAACACACACACACACACACACACACACACACACACAAAAGCCCAGAGCUUGUCAAGUUGUUUCCUUUCUUCUUGUUGCUGUCUGCUGUUUGAAAGCCUAUUUAGGAAUCCGACGGUGUCUAAUAUCUGAGAGGUGGGUGCUUGUGUUCAAGGCUGUGACACUGGGGUGCGCUUUAGGGCAAAGAGGACUGAAGCGGAGCGUCACCUUGAAGAUGUGCAGGGAAGGAACAGAUCUAUCAGGGGAGAUGCUCGGGCAUCUCACCCCCUCUGGAGAAUGUGCGUGUUGUCAAAGGCGAGCUGGUGGGGGAACAUCCUUCUGACAACUUAUUAUCAUAUUCAUAGAAAAAAAGAAGUAACAGCACAACAAAACAAAACUGCACAGGAGCUCCCUGCAGCUUUAAGGACAUACAGCAUUGGCCCCUUUCCAUUCCACACUCAACUAUGCAAAUCGCACACUGCGUUUGCCUUGCCUGAAAAAGCAACUCUAUUAUUAUUAACAGCAUAAAAGAAAAGUCUGACUGGGGGUUAUUUUA